UACAGCCAUAUCACGUUGAAACACCGGUUCUUGUCCGAUCACCAAAGUUAAGCAACGUCGAGCUUGGUAAGUACCUAGAUGAUUGACCGCUUGGGAAUGCGAAGUGUUGUAA